rnacentral:rRNA from 1 species
CCUACGGGAGGCAGCAGUAGGGAAUAUUGCUCAAUGGGGGAAACCCUGACGCAGCGACGCCGCGUGGAGGAUGAAGGUUUUCGGAUUGUAAACUCCUUUUGUUAGAGAAGAUAAUGACGGUAUCUAACGAAUAAGCACCGGCUAACUCCGUGCCAGCAGCCGCGGUAAUACGGAGGGUGCGAGCGUUACUCGGAAUCACUGGGCGUAAAGAGCGCGUAGGCGGGAUAGCAAGUCAGAUGUGAAAUCCUAGGGCUUAACCAUAGAACUGCAUUUGAAACUGUUAUUCUAGAGUAUGGGAGAGGUAGGUAGAAUUCUUGGUGUAGGGGUAAAAUCCGUAGAGAUCAAGAGGAAUACUCAUUGCGAAGGCGACCUGCUAGAACAUAACUGACGCUGAUGCGCGAAAGCGUGGGGAGCAAACAGGAUUAGAUACCCGAGUAGUC